AGUCCAACGGUCCCUGCCCCCACCCCCAAGGUCUCUGAGAAGACACAGGGACAAGACUGCCUAGAUUGUGGUAUGAUAACCACGGAGAAACACCACUCCAUUGCCUUGCCUGCUGCCAGGCCUCAGCCUACACUGUAGACAAACAAAAGAUACUGAGAGUUAAUUGUCUCAUAUUGCCUAAGACAAGGUUUGUGACAAUGGAACAGAGGUGUGAAUGGAGGCAGAGACAGAGAUGGAGGAUAGGAGCCGAUGAGAAAGAGAACAGGCGAUAACCAAAGCCUCAGUUUAACAUCCGAGCAAUGGAAGCAGCACACUAUCACCUCAGAGCGCUCACAGUCUGCUUGCCACUGAGACCAACGCUUCGUGCGGAAGGACAGGAGAGGACAGCAUUGUGAAUAAAGGAGGUUCCAGGGGCCACCUUGGAGGCUGACACCGCUCCCCCUAAAACAGGUCACCACAAACCCACACUAAGAGCUACUUGAUCCUGCAAGAGAUGGUAGAUUGAACAGAUGAUCCAGAAGGGUCCUGGGGGUGGGGAGGGGCAGCUCAUAAAGAAUCUUCUAGACCAGUGAA